GCCUCUGUGGUCUAGUGGUAAAAGCUUUGCUUCAUAACCCAGAGGUCCCGGGUUCGAUUCCCGGGUGGAACC
rnacentral:tRNA from 1 species